rnacentral:miRNA from 1 species
UUUCUCUUUAUGCUCUCUUCCACACAGGAGAAAGCUGAGCAAGGUCCACAUGCCUCCACCCGCAUCACUUGGGAGGCUGAGGCAGGAGGA